GAUGAAGAACGUAGCGAAAUGCGAUAAGUAAUGUGAAUUGCAGAAUUCAGUGAAUCAUCGAAUCUUUGAACGCACAUUGCGCCCAUUAGUAUUCUAGUGGGCAUGCCUGUUCGAGCGUCAUUAAGUCCACUUAAGCCCUGCUUAGUGUUGGGAGACUGCUCCAGCGGUGCUACCCUGUAGCUACCCUGCAGCUCCUCAAAGACAGCGGCGGAGUUGUGGUAUCCUCUGAGCUUAGUAAUUUUUUCUAGCUUUCGAGAUGCUACUGCUUCUGCCGUUAAACACCCUUCUUCUGAAUGGUUGACCUCGGAUCAGGUAGGAAUACCCGCUGAACUUAAGCAUAUCAAUAAGCGGAGGA
rnacentral:misc_RNA from 1 species